AUUCCAGCUCCAAUAGCGUAUAUUAAAGUUGUUGCGGUUAAAAAGCUCGUAGUUGGAUUUCUGCUGAGGACGACUGGUCCGCCCCCUGGGUGAGCAUCUGGUUCGGCCUGGGCAUCUUCUUGGGGAACGUAUCUGCACUUGAUUGUGUGGUGCGGUAUCCAGGACUUUUACUUUGAGGAAAUUAGAGUGUUUCAAGCAGGCCCGCGCCUUGAAUACAUUAGCAUGGAAUAAUAAGAUAGGACCUCGGUUCUAUUUUGUUGGUUUCUAGAGCUGAGGUAGUGAUUAACAGGGACAGUUGGGGGUAUUCAUAUUUACAUGUCAGAGGUGAAAUUCUUGGAUUUUGGAAAGAUGAACUACUGCGAAGGCAUUUACCAAGGAUGUUUUCAUCA
rnacentral:rRNA from 1 species